UACGAUGAAAUCAUAUCGAGAAAUAUUCGCCGUGCAGUGUAUACCGGAAAGUUGCAACAAGUACUGAAUCAUUUUAUUACAUUUUAAGGUGUGGAAAUUGUUAAAAGUUACGUAUUUUAAAAAUCUUCUUAAAUAUUGCAUUUUUAGGGCGCUAUAAAAAUGUGUACAAAUUGAAUAGUGACACAACAAAUGUGAUUAUUAUUUUACCUUGACUUUGAGUGUCAAAAUUUUCCGCAGGUUCUGCAGGCGCUGACGUGGAUGUAGAUAGACAAUGAUCUUACCUGGGCAAUAAUGGAAGCUACUUUUUCUUUAUCUACCGCCGUAUGAAUACGUUUAUUCUUCAGGUGAUGUGGAGUGUCUCUACGAUGAAGCCUAUUUGGUCUAUUUGAAUCACCGCUACCUUCAUAAUCAGUACCCUCUGUUACAGAAAAUUCUACGUGUCUUUCAGUCCCUUCGUUUUCGGAUUCGUCAUCUUCCUUUUCACUUUUCUCCUUUAGCUCAGAAACUGAAUCAUCAAUCCUUGUCUCCUAAGAGUACGAAAAAUAAACAAUAUAAAAAUUUAUAGAUGAAAAUAAAUAAAUAAGUUUAUCGGCUGCUGUGUAAGUUCUUACAGCACUAGGUUCUGCAGCAUAUUUAUUACAAACUACUUCUGAUUCGUUAUUAGACUGGAGAUCAGCAUUGUUAGUCAAUGUUCCAGGUACGAUUUGUGUUUCUUCAUUUUCUACCGAUUCAGGUUUUGCUGGUUCUAAUUCCGUAGAAACUUCUAUUAAAUCACUAGAUUUUGUUAUGGUAUCAGUCUCAGUUUUAUCUAAACCAAACGUUUGAGAAAUAUCCUAGAAGAAUAUUAAUAAUUAUUUCAUCAUUUGCAAAUGUUUUUUCUCCUUAUUUUUAACUUUUUUUCUAAAAGGAUUACCUGUUCUUCUGUAGACGCUGAUCGGCUGUCAUUCUUUCCUUUGCUGAAUAAUUUAUGAGCCUUUGCUUUCAAUUCUUUAGGAUGAGGAGUAUUUUGCCGUACAAAUGGUGUCUGAAAUAAAUACAAAUCCUUACAUACAUUAUACUUAUGUAGAUAAACGGCGAGGAAAAAAAUGACACUUCUAUUUCAUUUUUUGUUAUUUUAACUUUAAUACAAUGAAUUGUACGAGUAACCUUUCCAACAUAUAAAAUAACGCGAUAGUAUUCUGAAUUUAGAUCUAACGUAUCGAAAGAAUUUCUGUUUUCUUGUGCGUUGUCUCACCUCCUUAUCAGUUUCUGGAGGUUCGUCUGUAAAUUUAACAGAAUGCGUUCGUGAUGCUUCUUUUUCUUGCCAUUCUUCGUCGUCACUGCUACCAAGUUCACGUACGUCACCACCUUGCACAGCAUUUCUCAUCCCAACAAGCAUACCAAGUCUUCCUGAAUCUAAAUAAGACAAUGUAUCAAAUACAAUUUCAACUAUGAUUUAAAUACGUUAAUCGUCUGCUAACCAUCAGGAUGAAUUUCUAAUUGUGGUAGGAGAAAACAUGUUAAUACUUCUUGUCCAGUUUCUUCAUCGAUAUCUGUCUGAAAAGUAAGCAUUGGUUGUGCUUGAUUUUCACUUAACCAUACUGCCUUUAAGUUCAGAUUGAUCAAGGAAUAUGGCAAAUACUGUAAUCUGGAACAACAAAUAUCGUUAUUAAAAAUUUGUUGAAACAAAAUUUACAAACUGCAAUUAUAAUUACAAUUACCUGUUGCCGGAUACAUCUAAUACAUGAAGAGCAGUACAAUGGCCAACUUCAACUGGAAGAUAUUGCAAUUUGUUAUCUCUUAGAGAUAGUACACCCAACUGUUUCAAAUUCCCUGAAAUGAAAAUAAAAAAUACAUUCAAA